AACGAACGCUGGCGGCAGGCCUAACACAUGCAAGUCGAACGCCGUAGCAAUACGGAGUGGCAGACGGGUGAGUAACGCGUGGGAACAUACCCUCCGGUUCGGAAUAACUCAGGGAAACUUGAGCUAAUACCGGAUACGUCCAAGGUUUUAAUCGGCCUUGGAGAAAGAUUUAUCGCUGGAGGAUUCGGCCCGCGUCUGAUUAGCUUGUUGGUGAGGUAAUGGCUCACCAAGGCGACGAUCAGUAGCUGGUCUGAGAGGAUGAUCAGCCACAUUGGGACUGAGACACGGCCCAAACUCCUACGGGAGGCAGCAGGUGGGGAAUAUUGGACAAUGGGCGAAGGCCUGAUCCAGCCAUGCCGCGUGAGUGAUGAA
rnacentral:rRNA from 1 species